CGUCUGCCAGUGUUAGUCAUAGAUAUAUAUCUAUGACUGUUAGUAGUCAGCCAGACCAACCACUUUUUAUUUUAUUUACACUAACGUUAGCUUAGCACUUAACAGUCAGUCAUUACGUUUAUUUUUGAUAACUGACUGACACAGGCGGAGAGAAAGAGGAAUCACAGCGCACUGCUUCACUGUACAGUUCAGCAUGGAAAGGAGUGGAGUUCUUAACCACCAGUUUAUGCCAUGAAAUCAACUCUCACCACUUAUCUGCAGAGAGAAAGAAGAAACAAUGAUGAACAAUGAUUAGCUGUUUAUUAUUUAAUAACAGCUAAUGUUUUCUGUCUUCUCUUCAGGUGCUUACAGCUCAGGAACUGCAACUUGACCUCGGUCAACAAGUAGUUCAAGUAUGGAUACCACACCUCGUCAACUGUCUGGAUAGAGUAUGGAUUCAUUUCCAGCUUUUAGCCUGGUCCCGGGACACAUGCAGGAGCCCAGAGUGAGGCGGCUGUGAGGACAUUCUGUCCCCUUUUCCAGACCCGUCUGUGUGUUCAUGGUUUCAUUGCCCCACUUUGUUUGGUCGUGUCGCAGAUCUUUUUCUCCAUCUGAAGACUUAGAAUCGAUAUUUUGAUGUGGAGAUCGAUUCUAAAAGACACACGUCUAGAUCAGAAGUAUCGAUAUUUCUGGAACGAUACCAUAUCCCUACAGCAUGGACCAGAGUAAAGACAGACUGGAGGGACCUGGACCUGGACCUGGACCUGGACCUGAACCGAGCUGUGUGUCCUUGAAGAGCGACCAGUCGAAGAACUUUGAGAGUAAUUUUAAAGGAGGACGUGGUUCUGGUCCAAAGAGGAAUGAACCUGGACCUGAACCCAGCUGUGUGUCCUUUAAGGGCGACCAGUCCAAGAAAAAUAUUUAUGACUUUAAAGAAAGUCAGAGGUAAGUUGUUGACUCCUUCCACCUGAUGAACCAGGCACCAGGUUCUGCAGAAUGUUCUGUAACUAACCACCAGUCAGUCGGUCGUACAACAGGGUGUGUUUUAAUGUCUGUAAAAGAUCAGACUUUAAUCUA